rfam:Acidobacteria bacterium 13_1_20CM_3_53_8 13_1_20cm_3_scaffold_56, whole genome shotgun sequence.
GCGGAUGUGGCGGAACUGGUAGACGCGCAGGCCUCAGAAGCCUGUGAUCGUGAGAUCGUGGUGGUUCGACUCCACUCAUCCGCA